rnacentral:rRNA from 1 species
AGUGAACGCUGGCGGUAGGCCUAACACAUGCAAGUCGAACGGCAGCACAGUAAGAGCUUGCUCUUACGGGUGGCGAGUGGCGGACGGGUGAGGAAUACAGCGGAAUCUACUUUUUCGUGGGGGAUAACGUAGGGAAACUUACGCUAAUACCGCAUACGACCUACGGGUGAAAGCAUGGGAUCUUCGGACCUUGCGCGAUUGAAUGAGCCGAUGUCGGAUUAGCUAGUUGGCGGGGUAAAGGCCCACCAAGGCGACGAUCCGUAGCUGGUCUGAGAGGAUGAUCAGCCACACUGGAACUGAGACACGGUCCAGACUCCUACGGGAGGCAGCAGUGGGGAAUAUUGGACAAUGGGCGCAAGCCUGAUCCAGCCAUACCGCGUGGGUGAAGAAGGCCUUCGGGUUGUAAAGCCCUUUUGUUGGGAAAGAAAAGCAGCAGGUUAAUACCCCGCUGUUCUGACGGUACCCAAAGAAUAAGCACCGGCUAACUUCGUG